rnacentral:rRNA from 1 species
GACGUAGGUGGCGAACGUUAUCCGGAAUUAUUGGGCGUAAAGGAUGCGUAGAUGGUGUAGUAAGUUAUCGGUGGUAAAUCGAGGCUCAACCUCGUGGAAGUCGGUAAUACUGCUAUGCUAGAGGAUAGGAGAGGUUAACGGAACUCCCUGUGGGGCGGUGAAAUGCGUAGAUAUAGGGAAGAACACCAAUAAGGCGAAGGCAGUUAACUAUUCUAUUCCUGACAUUGAGGCAUGAAAGCGUGGGGAGCAAAACGG